AGGACAUCAGCUUUAAUUCCUAUAGUAAAGAACAUUUAAAGGACACUGAUUUGUAGGUGUACUCAUGUGAAUCUCCAUCUUAAACAACUUUUAAGCUGUGUGUAAUUCAUCAACAUGCAGGUCAUGUUUUGGGCCAAACAGUGGACAUGAUGACGUGAUGAUGCACACACCCUAAAUGCAUCGAUCUGAUAUGCUGUGCUCUGUUUAUGUGUAUACAGUGAGGAGGAGUUUUCUUUAAAGGUUAUAGAAAAGACAGAAAGGUUGUGAGAUCAGCCCACCUGAGGAGCCUCAUCCAACAUCUACUGCUCAGAGUACCAUCAGUUCCCUUGCUAAGUCUUCUUGGCACUCUUCGGUCAAGCUGAAGCAAAUCCUUUCGUUUACAGUAAGUACUCUGAGGCAGAUGCUCAGGAGAUCCUAAUAAUAUUACAUUUAUUAUAUA
ensembl:lncRNA